GGGUGCAACCAACGGGUCUCUUCCUCCCUGACUUUCUUCACGCUAAUCGGGAGUUUAUGAUUGUUACCGCAUCUUUGGAUGAAGAGGAAUCGGCGGAAUCAGACAAGUUGCAUUGCGUGAAAGGAAGGAAAAUUUAAUAAAGGCUGCCAUCACACAUGAAAUGAUCAUUGGCUCAAAACAUCUGGCUUAAACGUCCUUAAAGGUGCGUAUAUCAACCCAUCCUUGCGAUCUUCACUCGG